CCUACGGGAGGCAGCAGUGGGGGAUAUUGCACAAUGGGGGGAAGCCUGAUGCAGCGACGCCGCGUGGGGGAAGGAGUGCUUCGGCAUGUAAAGCCCUAUCGGCAGGGAAGAAGCAAGACGGUACCUGACUAAGAAGCCCCGGCAAACUACGUGCCAGCAGCCGCGGUACUACGUAGGGGGCGAGCGUUAUCCGGAUUCACGGGGUGUAAAGGGAGCGUAGACGGCCAUGCAAGUCAGGGGUGAAAGGCCGGGGCCCAACCCCGGGACUGCCUUUGGAACGGCAUGGCUGGAGUGCGGGAGGGGCAGGCGGAAUUCCUGGUGUAGCGGUGAAAUGCGUAGAUAGCAGGAGGAACACCGGCGGCGAAGGCGGCCUGCUGGACCGCGACUGACGUUGAGGCUCGAAAGCGUGGGGAGCGAACAGGAUUAGAUACCCGUGUAGUC
rnacentral:rRNA from 1 species